AUUGAACGCUGGCGGCAGGCUUAACACAUGCAAGUCGAACGGUAACAUAAAGAAGCUUGCUUCUUUGAUGACGAGUGGCGGACGGGUGAGUAAUGCUUGGGAAUCUAGCUUAUGGAGGGGGAUAACUACGGGAAACUGUAGCUAAUACCGCGUAAUAUCGAAAGAUUAAAGUGUGGGACCCUCGGGCCACAUGCCAUAGGAUGAGCCCAAGUGGGAUUAGGUAGUUGGUGAGGUAAAGGCUCACCAAGCCGACGAUCUCUAGCUGGUCUGAGAGGCAUGACCAGCCACACUGGGACUGAGACACGGCCCAGACUCCUACGGGAGGCAGCAGUGGGGAAUAUUGCGCAAUGGGGGCAACCCUGACGCAGCCAUGCCGCGUGAAUGAAGAAGGCCUUCGGGCUGUAAAGUUCUUUCGGUAGCG
rnacentral:rRNA from 1 species